AUGGAGUUCAAAGCGGCCGUUUUCACCGCCGCCGUGCUGGCCGUGCUCCUCUGCUCCCCGGCAUCGGCCCAGAAGAGUCCGCCCGCGCCGGCGCCGGUGUCCGUGUCAAUCCCGCCGUCCCUCGCGCCGGCGCCGGCGCCGGCCCCGCGCUACGUGGACCUGGCGGCGCUCCUCGACGUGGCCGGCCCGUUCCACACCUUCCUCGGUUACCUGCAGAAGACGAAGGUGAUCGAGACCUUCCAGGCCCAGGCCAACAAGACCGACGAGGGCAUCACCAUCUUCGUCCCCAAGGACUCGGCCUUCGCGGCGCUCAAGAAGUCCACCUUCUCCAACCUCACCAGCGACCAGCUCAAGACGCUGCUCCUCUACCACGCCUUCCCCAAGUACUACCCGCUGGCGCAGUUCAGGAACCUCAGCUCGCUCAACCCGGUGAACACCUUCGCCGGCUCGCCCUACACGCUCAACCUCACCGACGACAUGGGCAGCAUCAGCGUCGAGUCCAUGUGGUCCAAGCCCAAGAUCUCCAGCAGCGUCUACGCCACCAAGCCCAUCGCCGUCUACUCCAUCAACAAGGUGCUCCUGCCCAUGCAGCUCUUCAGCAAGGACCCGCCGCUGGCGCCGGCGCCCGCGCCCGCGCCGGAGUCAGGGGCGUCGGACAUCGCCCCCAGCCCGGGCGGCGCCAAAGCGGGCGCCGGGAACGGCAAGGCGGACUCGACGAGCGCCGGGCAUGUCGGUGCCGCGAAUUGCUUGGGGCUGCUGGCUGCCGCGGCAGGUGGCCUGAUGCUCCUGUGGUGA
rnacentral:rRNA from 1 species